ensembl:lncRNA
CCCCACGAAAACAGAAUUGCAACUUUCAAAAGCUAUUUUGCCCUGUAAGACUGCAUUUCUUUCACAUAAACACAACAACGAACGCGACGAUGAACAAACAUUAAUUCAAGAACAAAUCACUGAGAAAAUGUCACGCCUGUGCUGGACUACGCUCCGGCCACGCCCCCUGUUCAACUGUUUAUGGACAUACACAUUUUUGUAUUCCAAGAUGCAUAGCUCUUGAUUAGUUGAAUCAUGUCUAAUUAAACUGGCUAGCUCGCUCCACCUAAACUAAAGCUGUCCAAAUUUGAUUACUCAAAUUUUGAUGACGCAAAAUGACGCAAAUUGCGGUACAGCUGAACUUGAACUGAUGUUUCGACUGAAUGGCAAUAACAAGGAACGUCACAAGUCACUGGCUAGCUAGCGUUAGCUAACUAGCAAGAUUACAUACAAUCCAUUCACUAAAGUUGACAAUACAACACUUGGAUUUUUACCAGUAUUCCUCAUUUGUUGACAAGUUGCCGUGUUUGGCUUCCUUAAUGGGUGUGCUAUGCAACCAGUAAGAUAUGUGUAGUGUUGUUGCAGUGGCUAUUGGCUUUAUAUGUGCGCCCCUAUUUUAAUCAUGCCUUUUUUUGUAUAAUGUAGAAUAAAUGGACAUAUCAUUUUUGAUAUACCCGCCUCUGUAAAAUCCUUAAAGAACUAUGUGACAGGGAGUAGGAAAACUUUCAAUGAUAAGGUACAUCUUUUCUUCUUAACUCCACUAAAGUGCCCGGGGCAAUUCACGCAUUCGUGAACGUUUUCUUAUCUGGAAUUCAUUCUAGGCUAGAACAGGAUUUAAGGAUUUACCUUUCUCCUUGGCACGUUUCUCUUCUUCUUCCUUUCUUUUCUUCGUAAAUUGCGCCCCGGACGCCUCACUGUGCUAGCAUGUUCUGACAACACCAAGGACGUACGUACCCCUUCCGUUUUCGAUUUUUGGCUCAUUUUAUGUUAGAUUUUUUUUUUUUAUGUCAAAAUAUUGGUUGGAGAUAUAGAAGGGGGCGCAAAAAAACUCUGUCCAGCAAAAAAAAAAACAUAAUUCUUGUUUUUUUUUUUUUUUUGCUGGGCGCAGUUUUUUGCGCCCCCCUCUGAGUGGCGCCCUAGGCGACCGCCUAUACCGCCUGUAGGAAAAACCGCCCCUGCCUGCGGUAAAACAUCCCUGAAUUACCCAUGGAUGGAUGUGUGAUCAAAUGACCAGAUCAUUUGUAAAAUCAAGACUUUCCGGUGAGUGGCCCAAUUAACUGCUAUCAUCAUAUGGAAUUGCCUUUUCACAAAGAUGUCAGCUGCGGGAGGUGUAUGGCCUAACACAGUGGUUCUCAAAGGGGGGGGGGGCGCGAACACUCUCCAGGGGGGGCGCGAUGUCACAGACGGAGAAAAAAAAAAACGACCGCCGACCUCACUGGUUAGUGAAAGCUCCCUCAGUGGCGAAAUGCAAGGGGCUGGACUGACCCAAACAAAUCAAAUACUGUUUUGCUCCUGAUCCACCAAUCAAAACGGAGUCUUAUCAUUUGAACGCGAGUUGCACCCAAGCUUCCGAGUAUAAAAAAAAACCGCAGGCAUGGUAAGCGCUCACCCUGAGACAACACUCUGCAGUUUGUUCAAUUUCUCUUGUUUCCUCUAUCAUUCAGAUAUUCAUUGCUUAAUAAACAGUCUUUUUAAAGACUCACUCCUUCCUUAGUAAUACCUCACUGCACUUGCAGUAGGUCUAUUCGUAGCCUAUUCUAAGGAGUAAUUUGCUCCACAGUCUUUUGAAAAAGCUCGUAGCCCCGAGAGCUAGCCUAGCUAUCUACCUUCUUCCAACUGCAGCUAGCCCUUUUCUCCUUAACAUCUACCUUUACAUUUUUCGAUCAUCCACCGUGUUGCAACAAAUAAAACACCAGCACUUGAAUACUAUUUUGUGCUGUCCCUGUCUACAUUGUGUACAGUUCGUUUUGUUAGGAAUUAUUGCCUAGCACAGCCUUAUCCAUUAUUCGUGUGCAAGUCGUUCACAACCACACAUACAAGAACACGACGAACUGAAAUGAGAACUUUAUUAACUUCACAAACACAACUAUGGACAAGUUUCUGAUUCGUAAAAGUCAGAAAGAGAAGCCUGUGGACUUCUUUAAACAUAAACGUGAUGGCCUCCAGCAACAACGAACCACCAUCUCCAAGCAGUGUCUGGAGGCAUCUUAUGUAGUUGCUCAUAGAAUUGCUAAGCUUGGCAAACCCCAUACAAUUGCCGAAACACUGAUUUUGCCGGCCGCACAAGAAGUGUAGAAUAAUGACAGGAGCUAAACUCAGCGCAAUACCUAUGUCAGUAUCUUGCUGAAUAUCAGAAAUCAGUUUGGGUCCUACAAAGAGGACUACCGUUAAUUGGCCUGAGUUCGGGAUCCAUUUCCAAUAGACAUGAAAGAGCAGCUGAAGAGUGACAGUAGACUUAAGCAUCUCCCCUCUUUCAUCAUUCUGGGUAGCAAUGAUCAGCUUUGCGACAUAGCCUUAGAAAUGCUCCUCCUUUUCGCGUCGACAUAUUUGUGCGAGGCAGGCUUUUCAAGACUGACUGCGCUCAAAAGUAAAUAACGCAACCACGCACAGAUCGAGGAUGACCUGAGGAUAUGUUUGUCAAACAUUGCCCCAAGAUUUGAGGACCUUUGCAGUGCAAAGCAGGCUCAUGUCUCACAUUGACAGACCUGUAGGAUUUUUUUUGUAAAGAUCACAAGAGGCCCAUAAUAAUAACAGUAUCCUAAUGAUAGCAAUAAUAAUAAUACUUAUUAUUAUUAUGAUAAUGAUAAGAAUAAUUAUUAUUAUGAUUAUGAUGAUAAUAAUAAUACAAUAAUAAUAAUUGGUCGAUAAUCAUUAAUUAUAAUAAUAUUAACAUAAUGAUGGUGAUAAUAAUGAAUAGCCUACUGAUAGGCCUACUAUUACUGAUAAUAAUAAUAACAAUAAUAAUACUAAAUAGUUAUAAUAAUUGUCUGUAUGGGCCUAACAAUAACAAUAGCCUAACCUUGACAUGUCAGGCCUAUCAAUAACAAUAUGCUAUCUACGGUAUCUAUCUAUCUAUCUAUCUAUCUAUCUAUAUAUGGUGGUGUAGUUGAGGGCGGUGGCGGCGGGCUGCGGGCGGCGCGGGGGAUGGGGGGGCCCCGACUACCCCUAACCAGCUUUGGGGGGGCCCAGCUUGCAAAAGUUUGAGAACCCCUGGCCUAACAUAUCCUAAAUACAUAUUGGGACAGCCUCCUUUUAUGGGUAACAAUUUAAAACGUAUACAGUACACAGAUAUACAUUUGCAUGGAGUCACAAAAACACAUAACAUAACCCCCAUGGCAAACUACGGCAAAUAAUCUAGUCUGCCAUUAGUCAUACCAUCACAUUCAACUACAUCCCCCUUUCACAUGGGACUAGAGUGGCAUAGUAGGCUUGUCAAACAUCUUGAUAGCGGUCAUGUUGAUAACUGAUCGUUGUAGCACGAAACAAUUCUGUGGUAGGAUAUGCUGCGGUAACAUGUUUACUAUAGUUAUGUGCGUCUGAGGGAUAACGUUAACAUUUAUUACGUAUUAAAAACAAUGUUACCUAUCAUUUAAGCAGGUGAACAAACGGAACUCUUAAGCUCCCGCACUUCCAUUUGUUUUAACCUGAAGAUUUGCUGUAUCACUUGGGGUUCUUUUUUAGUUGCAAAUUAAUACAUUUUGCUGAGUCAAUAUAAAAACGAACUGUUGUGGUUCAUCAGAUGGGAAAAGAGGCCUACAUACCACUCCUCCAGUGUGUACAUGGCCUUAAAUUUCUGUUCGAGGGGAAAUGUUUACUUUGGUGUAUCCAGUACUAGUUUUCCUGUAGAAAUCACACUGAUUUGUAAAUUAAGAAUUGCGGGUCUCCUACGUCGAGUCAACUGCGGAGAGGCGUCACUAAAUAUGGUUCCUCUUUCAGUCUUCUGUUCAAUCAAUCCUGACAACAAACGUAAAUAGACUACCUAGAUAAGAAGAAUGUAUUUAACUGAGUCCAGAACGACAUCGAAUUUGCUACAGCAUGCCCGCCCAUCUAGCUAGGCUCCGAGAAGUACAAAAACUUCCGUGUCAACCCAUUUGCUUAAGGUUUUAUAGACAUACAAGCAACACCGGAUGAAAUGAGCAAGAAAGACAAAAAAGAGACACUCUGCCUCUACUACUUUUAUCCCUCUCACAGAACUAUCCACAAUCCAAAGGCUGCUAAUUUUGGUCAAACCGCAAUUUGCCUACAGUGGAACUACAAGGCUAUCUAUGUGAAUGACAAAAGAUUUUUUUAAUGUGUCCGUGAAUGAGUU